UUCCNNNANAAAAAAAAAAGANUCNUCGACGGGUGAGNAACACGUGGGUAACCUGCCCUGUACACACGGAUAUUUACCGAAAGGUAUACUAAUACGGGAUAACAUACGAAAGUCGCAUGGCUUUUGUAUCAAAGCUCCGGCGGUACAGGAUGGACCCGCGUCUGAUUAGCUAGUUGGUAAGGUAAUGGCUUACCAAGGCAACGAUCAGUAGCCGACCUGAGAGGGUGAUCGGCCACACUGGNAACUGAGACACGGUCCAGACUCCUACGGGAGGCAGCAGUGGGGAAUAUUGCACAAUGGGCGAAAGCCUGAUGCAGCAACGCCGCGUGAGCGAUGAAGGCCUUCGGGUCGUAAAGCUCUGUCCUCAAGGAAGAUAAUGACGGUACUUGAGGAGGAAGCCCCGGCUAACUACGUGCCAGCAGCCGCGGUAAUACGUAGGGGGCUAGCGUUAUCCGGAAUUACUGGGCGUAAAGGGUGCGUAGGUGGUUUUUUAAGUCAGAAGUGAAAGGCUACGGCUCAACCGUAGUAAGCUUUUGAAACUAGAGAACUUGAGUGCAGGAGAGGAGAGUAGAAUUCCUAGUGUAGCGGUGAAAUGCGUAGAUAUUAGGAGGAAUACCAGUAGCGAAGGCGGCUCUCUGGACUGUAACUGACACUGAGGCACGAAAGCGUGGGGAGCAAACAGGAUUAGAUACNCUGGUAGUCCACGCCGUAAACGAUGAGUACUAGGUGUCGGGGGUACNGAAANCGGUNNUCUCUNCNCAANNGANCCCCUGNAAAUCGGAGAUUUCCCUUCGGGGACAGUGGUGACAGGUGGUGCAUGGUUGUCGUCAGCUCGUGUCGUGAGAUGUUGGGUUAAGUCCCGCAACGAGCGCAACCCUUGCCUUUAGUUGCCAGCAUUAAGUUGGGCACUCUAGAGGGACUGCCGAGGAUAACUCGGAGGAAGGUGGGGAUGACGUCAAAUCAUCAUGCCCCUUAUGCUUAGGGCUACACACGUGCUACAAUGGGUGGUACAGAGGGUUGCCAAGCCGCGAGGUGGAGCUAAUCCCUUAAAGCCAUUCUCAGUUCGGAUUGUAGGCUGAAACUCGCCUACAUGAAGCUGGAGUUACUAGUAAUCGCAGAUCAGAAUGCUGCGGUGAAUGCGUUNACCGGGUCUUGUACACACCGCCCGUCACACCAUGGAAGUUGGGGCGNGNAAACCGUUUCUNCNUUUAGNNGA
rnacentral:rRNA from 1 species